UGGUGCAGAGACCUGUGAGCUUUCUUUUACAGAACUUUCAUGAUAUUUAAAGCUGCACGAGGUGCUCCUGAUUGUGGAUUUAUUUGGAGAUGAGUGUCUCCACUGAAGAGUGGCGAGAAUCUGAAAUUAUUUAGAAAUGCAAGUCUUAAAAAGUGCACUUGUUUGGAAUGAGAAUGAAAAACAGUGGCCAAAGAACAAAUCUUCAACUGGCAAGACUUCUCGGACAUCAAUAUCUGGCUUUGAGUGGCACAAAGAGAUAAAGGGAUGUGGAUUCAGAGCUGGCCGGGGAGGCUGGCAAUUCUAAUUCGACCCCAGACUGCAAAUGGAUACAAAACUGUUGCGACUUUUGUUGAAGAGAAGGCUGGUGAAGGUCUCUUUAGUAAAGAACCUCUUUGCUGAAAUUGCCCGGGGCCAGCACAGAAGCCGGAUUCAGCAGCGCGGGGCUGCGAAUGCGAGGAAAGACUGCCACCUUGUGGCCAGCCCGGCGAACGUCCAGGCUGCAGAGAGCCCCGGGGCGAGGAGGGGAAGUCAUGCUGGGAGCUGGACACUUGGAUGCUUUUAGAAAACACCCAGAGAGUAAUAGCUGAGUGCCCUCCAAGGUAGGCUCCAGUGACUCUUCUGCAUGUACAUUGUCAUCCCGAGCCAAGCGCAUGCUUCUCACACACUCUGAAGGCUGAGUGAACAUGAGGUAGAAUCGUGGGGAAAACAAGCCCAGGCUAGGACAAAGAUGAACACAAAUCUGUUAAUAGUCAUUGUCUCCUGUGCCUGGCAGAGAGCCGGGUGUAGAACACCCAGGCCGGGAAAAGGAAACAGCAAUUUGAGCCAGGGCAAUGAAAUCACUUCUGGUCUCUCCUCCAGUAGGCAU